UACGUAGGGACCGAGCGUUGUCCGGAUUCAUUGGGCGUAAAGGGCGCGUAGGCGGGAUGGCAAGUCGGUCGUGAAAUCCUUCGGCUCAACCGAAGAACGUCGGCCGAUACUGCCGUUCUUGAGGGAUGCAGAGGAGAUUGGAAUUCCCGGUGUAGCGGUGAAAUGCGCAGAUAUCGGGAGGAACACCAGUAGCGAAGGCGGCACUCUGGGCCGGUACUGACGCUGAGGAGCGAAAGCGUGGGGAGCGAACAGG
rnacentral:rRNA from 1 species